AUUGAACGCUGGCGGCAGGCCUAACACAUGCAAGUCGAGCGGAUGAAGGGAGCUUGCUCCUGGAUUCAGCGGCGGACGGGUGAGUAAUGCCUAGGAAUCUGCCUGGUAGUGGGGGAUAACGUCCGGAAACGGGCGCUAAUACCACAUACGUCCUGAGGGAGAAAGUGGGGGAUCUUCGGACCUCACGCUAUCAGAUGAGCCUAGGUCGGAUUAGCUAGUUGGUGGGGUAAAGGCCUACCAAGGCGACGAUCCGUAACUGGUCUGAGAGGAUGAUCAGUCACACUGGAACUGAGACACGGUCCAGACUCCUACGGGAGGCAGCAGUGGGGAAUAUUGGACAAUGGGCGAAAGCCUGAUCCAGCCAUGCCGCGUGUGUGAAGAAGGUCUUCGGAUUGUAAAGCACUUUAAGUUGGGAGGAAGGGCAGUAAGUUAAUACCUUGCUGUUUUGACGUUACCAACAGAAUAAGCACCGGCUAACUUCGU
rnacentral:rRNA from 1 species